rnacentral:rRNA from 1 species
CGGGUGAGUAACGCGUGAGUAACCUGCCUUUCANAGGGGGAUAACGUUCUGAAAAGAACGCUAAUACCGCAUGAGACUACAGAGCUGCAUGGCUCAGUGGUCAAAGGAGCAAUCCGCUGAAAGAUGGACUCGCGUCCGAUUAGAUAGUAGGCGGGGUAACGGCCCACCUAGUCGACGAUCGGUAGCCGGACUGAGAGGUUGAACGGCCACAUUGGGACUGAGACACGGCCCAGACUCCUACGGGAGGCAGCAUG